AUUGAACGCUGGCGGCAUGCCUUACACAUGCAAGUCGAACGGCAGCACGGGUGCUUGCACCUGGUGGUGAGUGGCGAACGGGUGAGUAAUACAUCGGAACAUGUCCUGUAGUGGGGGAUAGCCCGGCGAAAGCCGGAUUAAUACCGCAUACGAUCCACGGAUGAAAGCGGGGGACCUUCGGGCCUCGCGCUAUAGGGUUGGCCGAUGGCUGAUUAGCUAGUUGGUGGGGUAAAGGCCUACCAAGGCGACGAUCAGUAGCUGGUCUGAGAGGACGACCAGCCACACUGGGACUGAGACACGGCCCAGACUCCUACGGGAGGCAGCAGUGGGGAAUUUUGGACAAUGGGCGAAAGCCUGAUCCAGCAAUGCCGCGUGUGUGAAGAAGGCCUUCGGGUUGUAAAGCACUUUUGUCCGGAAAGAAAUCCUUGACUCUAAUACAGUCGGGGGAUGACGGUACCGGAAGAAUAAGCACCGGCUAACUACGUG
rnacentral:rRNA from 1 species